AUUGAACGCUGGCGGCAGGCCUAACACAUGCAAGUCGAGCGCGCGGCGGACGGGUGAGAAAUGUCUGGGACACUGCCUGUUGGAGGGGGAUAACUACUGGAAACGGUAGCUAAUACCGCAUACCCUCAGAUGUGCCCAGAUGGGAUUAGCUAGUAGGUGGGGUAUUGGCUCACCUAGGCGACGAUCCCUCGCUGGUCUGUGAGGAUGUCCAGCCACAAUGGAACUGAGACACGGUCCAGACUCCUACGGGAGGCAGCAGUGGGGAAUAUUGCACAAUGGGCGCAAGCCUGAUGCAGCCAUGCCGGGUGUGUGAAGGAGGCCUUCGGGUUGUAAAGCACUUUCAGCGGGGAAGCGUUACCCGCAGAAGAAGCACCGGCUAACUCCGGGCCAGCAGCCGCGGUAAUUC
rnacentral:rRNA from 1 species